rnacentral:rRNA from 1 species
UACGUAGGGGGCGAGCGUUGUCCGGAUUUAUUGGGCGUAAAGAGCUCGUAGGCGGUUCGAUAAGUCGGACGUGAAAUCUCCACGCUCAACGUGGAGGGGCCGUUCGAUACUGUCGUGACUCGAGUCCGGUAGGGGAGUGUGGAAUUCCCGGUGUAGCGGUGAAAUGCGCAGAGAUCGGGAGGAACACCCGUAGCGAAGGCGGCACUCUGGGCCGGUACUGACACUGAGGCACGAAAGCGUGGGGAGCAAACAGG